CACGUAGGCGGACUGGAAAGUUGGAGGUGAAAUCCCAGGGCUCAACCUUGGAACUGCAUUGGAAACUGUCAGACUAGAGUGCCGGAGAGGUAAGUGGAAUUCCUAGUGUAGCGGUGAAAUGCGUAGAUAUUAGGAGGAACACCAGUGGCGAAGGCGGCUUACUGGACGGUAACUGACGCUGAGGCUCGAAAGCGUGGGGAGCAAACA
rnacentral:rRNA from 1 species